rnacentral:rRNA from 1 species
AUGGCGUCCACGGAGGAGCUGCCGUCGUUCAGGACGCCGGGCACCGUGCCCUUCAAGUGGGAGCUCCAGCCGGGCAUCCCGAAGCAGCCGGCAUGCCACGCAGCCGCCGCUACAGCGCCACCGUCGUUGGCGCCGCUGCAGCUCCCUCCGAGGCUCGCGCUGCCCCCCGGCGCCGCCGCACGCGCUGCGUCCAGCGGCGGCGCGCGGUGGACCUGCCCCGCCUCGACGUCGGCGCGGUGGACCUUCACGGGCGUGUCGUCGGCAGCGCUGCUGUCGCCGCCGUCGACGGCGACUGCGACUGCGACGGCCCCACGGCACCGGCGGUCCAUGUCCGCGCGGUUCGCGACGUCGCUGACGCUGCCGUUCACGCGGCCGCGGCGGCGUGGCCGGUCCAGGGAGGACGCCGACGUCGCGUUCGCCGCCCUCUACGGCGACAGCAUCGUGCAGUAG